UAUUAUUAAAAUGAGUCACCAUUAGUAAAGCUAAUUAUAGGUAACAAGAAUAUUAACUAAUAUACCAUAUCGUAAAUAUUACACAACAACUCUAGCAAUUAUUUCUCGUCUUAAUUCCGAUAUUUCACUACUUGCAGUUAAUACAACACUAUUGUUUCACUCGACGGUCACCUUUGGGCACUCUCGUUCCGGUUUCCUCGUCACGUGUUGCCCAAACUAUUGGAUUCUCAGCGGCGCCCGUAGGCCAGCAUGAAUCUCAAUUCGCAUA